rnacentral:rRNA from 1 species
GACGAACGCCGGCGGCGUGCUUAACACAUGCAAGUCGAACGGUAAGGCCCUUCGGGGUACACGAGUGGUGAACAGGUGAGUAACACGUGGGUGAUCUGCCCUGCACUUCGGGAUAAGCCUGGGAAACUGGGUCUAAUACCGGAUAGGACCACUGCCUGCAUGGGUGGUGGUGGAAAGCUUUUGCGGUGUGGGAUGGGCCCGCGGCCUAUCAGCUUGUUGGUGGGGUGAUGGCCUACCAAGGCGACGACGGGUAGCCGGCCUGAGAGGGUGACCGGCCACACUGGGACUGAGAUACGGCCCAGACUCCUACGGGAGGCAGUAGUGGGGAAUAUUGCACAAUGGGCGCAAGCCUGAUGCAGCGACGCCGCGUGAGGGAUGACGGCCUUCGGGUUGUAAACCUCUUUCAGCACCGACGAAGCGCAAGUGACGGUAGGUGCAGAAGAAGGACCGGCCAACUACGUGCCAGCCGCCGCCGUAA